rnacentral:rRNA from 1 species
UUGAAGAUCUUGUGACUGAGUGGCGGACGGGUGAGUAACGCGUGGGCAACCUGCCUUGUACAGGGGGAUAACAGUUAGAAAUGACUGCUAAUACCGCAUAAGACCACAGCAUCACAUGAUGCAGGGGUAAAAACUGAGGUGGUACAAGAUGGGCCCGCGUCUGAUUAGCUGGUUGGUGAGGUAACGGCUCACCAAGGCGACGAUCAGUAGCCGACCUGAGAGGGUGACCGGCCACAUUGGGACUGAGACACGGCCCAAACUCC